GACGACCUGCCGCCGAGCAGGAGCGAGGGGGCAAUACAUAUU
rnacentral:ncRNA from 1 species